AGAACGAACGCUGGCGGCAGGCCUAACACAUGCAAGUCGAACGCCCGUAGCAAUACGGGAGUGGCAGACGGGUGAGUAACGCGUGGGAACGUACCCUUCGGUUCGGAAUAACCCGGGGAAACUCGGGCUAAUACCGGAUACGUCCGUAAGGAGAAAGAUUUAUCGCCGAAGGAUCGGCCCGCGUCGGAUUAGCUAGUUGGUGGGGUAAUGGCCCACCAAGGCGACGAUCCGUAGCUGGUCUGAGAGGAUGAUCAGCCACACUGGGACUGAGACACGGCCCAGACUCCUACGGGAGGCAGCAGUGGGGAAUAUUGGACAAUGGGCGAAAGCCUGAUCCAGCCAUGCCGCGUGAGUGAAGAAGGCCUUAGGGUUGUAAAGCUCUUUCAGCGGGGAAGAUAAAUGACGGUACCCGCAGAAGAAGCCCCGGCUAACUUCGUGCCAGCAGCCGC
rnacentral:rRNA from 1 species